AUGACUAUUGUAAUCAGCUUUGUGGUUUCAUUGAUGGUAUAUUAUUCAUUUGUUCUGUAAUAUGGUCAUAAUCAUUAAAUACUAUUAAAAUAUUGUCAACAAAAAUAAACUCACAUUAGCACAAAUUAAUAAUUGUAUGUAUUUAUUGUUUGUAUUAUCUUGAAACUCUCCCGAGCAGCAUUUUUGCACUCAAAUAAGAUGGCCGUAGAGCGCCCUCAGGGGACCGUUAAUUAGACAUCAGAAUGAAUACACUACCAACGUACAUUUUUAAAAAUCCACCAAAUUCAUCAUUUUUGCAAAUUAAACGGCAUCUCUCGUUCAAACUGGCUCGCUCUAACAGCUCGUCGGUUCUCCGCAUUGGAUUGUGGGAAAUAGUGCUUCAGCGAGUGUACAUCGGUUGUACACUCGAAAUCAGAAUGCAUUGUGGGUAAAAAGUAGUGAACGAAUGUAGGGAAUGAAGUCGUUCACUCAGAAUUCGGACAGCACUACAAAAUGGCUGACACCCGAUAUAGUGCACUAUAUAGUGGAUAGGGAGUGGUUUCGGACACAGCUAUAGUUUCGCCAGUAGGUGGCGACAAGGGACUGAUUAAUUGAAUGAUUCAUUCAACCGAUUCUUUCAAAAUUAUUCAUUCAGGAACGCAAAAAGAGACUUUCUUUAUGAGUCAAUGAAUCAUUUAUUCAAACGAUUCACUCUGUUUUGUUCACAAAUGAAAGUGUUGGAGACGGUUAAUUCGGAGUCAUUGCUUUUGAGGAGCAAAACUACACAAAGUAUCUGACAGUCUAUUUAAAAUAACUCGCCCUUGUCUGAAGAGCCCUCAAGAGGGUUCAGCCCUCACUCAUGGUGUCACAUGCACCUGCAGAUGUAUUCCCAAAACCCUCUGAGAUGACUUACUAAGCAUGCUGGGGAACCAUCGAUGCCCACUGUGGUGCGGAGGCGCGGGCUGUUCUUAUUGUCCUUGAGACGUGUGAGGAUUGCACCCAGAGUGGCAGCAAUUAGAUUUGCAGAGCGAAAAGAGACAAUAGCGCAAACAUGCUGCACAGCAAUGCAGUCGUCUUCAGAUGGCUCUACACCCAAGCGUGUCAAAAUCUCCUUGGCUUUGGUGGAUGAAAAACUGGUCAUGUACCCGUGAUCCGCUGCCGUGGAUGAUGUCCUCUGGAGUCUCAUAUAUCUGACUUUCCAUCUGCACGGUCUGUUUCUUCUCAUGAGACACUUUCACUCGCAGAAUACGGAAAUUAGAGCCGCCCAGAUCCAGGGCAAUGAAAUCUCCCUUCUCUGUUGGAAAUGAGGGGUCUGGGAGUGUGAAGAUUUUUAAUUCUGUAAACUCAGCAUCAACUGGAAAGGUGUUUCACCUCUUCUCCUGUGCCCUGCAUGAUCUCCAUUGGAAUGGCAUAAAUCUUGUUGUACAUCCGGACUGAAUUUCGCAUACCGGUACGAAUCUUAACCACCAACACACGGAAAUUGGUUCCGCCAAGAUCCAAG